rnacentral:rRNA from 1 species
CCGACCUUGAAAUACCACCCUUUAAUGUUUGAUGUUCUAACGUGGACCCGUGAUCCGGGUUGCGGACAGUGUCUGGUGGGUAGUUUGACUGGGGCGGUCUCCUCCUAAAGAGUAACGGAGGAGCACGAAGGUUGGCUAAUCCUGGUCGGACAUCAGGAGGUUAGUGCAAUGGCAUAAGCCAGCUUGACUGCGAGCGUGACGGCGCGAGCAGGUGCGAAAGCAGGUCAUAGUGAUCCGGUGGUUCUGAAUGGAAGGGCCAUCGCUCAACGGAUAAAAGGUACUCCGGGGAUAACAGGCUGAUACCGCCCAAGAGUUCAUAUCGACGGCGGUGUUUGGCACCUCGAUGUCGGCUCAUCACAUCCUGGGGCUGAAGUAGGUCCCAAGGGUAUGGCUGUUCGCCAUUUAAAGUGGUACGCGAGCUGGGUUUAGAACGUCGUGAGACAGUUCGGUCCCUAUCUGCCGUGGGCGCUGGAGAACUGAGGGGGGCUGCUCCUAGUACGAGAGGACCGGAGUGGACGCAUCACUGGUGUUCGGGUUGUCAUGCCAAUGGCACUGCCCGGUAGCUAAAUGCGGAAGAGAUAAGUGCUGAAAGCAUCUAAGCACGAAACUUGCCCCGAGAUGAGUUCUCCCUGACUCCUUGAGAGUCCUGAAGGAACGUUGAAGACGACGACGUUGAUAGGCCGGGUGUGUAAGCGCAGCGAUGCGUUGAGCUAACCGGUACUAAUGAACCGUGAGG